rnacentral:rRNA from 1 species
AGUGAACGCUGGCGGUAGGCCUAACACAUGCAAGUCGAACGACAGCACAGUAAGAGCUUGCUCUUACGGGUGGCGAGUGGCGGACGGGUGAGGAAUACAUCGGAAUCUACUUUUUCGUGGGGGAUAACGUAGGGAAACUUACGCUAAUACCGCAUACGACCUACGGGUGAAAGCAGGAGAUCUUCGGACCUUGCGCGUUUGAAAGAGCCGAUGUCGGAUUAGCUAGUUGGCGGGGUAAAGGCACACCAAGGCGACGAUCCGUAGCUGGUCUGAGAGGAUGAUCAGCCACACUGGAACUGAGACACGGUCCAGACUCCUACGGGAGGCAGCAGUGGGGAAUAUUGGACAAAGGGCGCAAGCCUGAUCCAGCCAUACCGCGUGGGUGAAGAAGGCCUUCGGGUUGUAAAGCCCUUUUGUUGGGAAAGAAAAGCAGCAGGUUAAUACCCCGCUGUUCUGACGGUACCCAAAGAAUAAGCACCGGCUAACUUCGUG